rnacentral:rRNA from 1 species
GACGAACGCUGGCGGCGUGCUUAACACAUGCAAGUCGAACGGAAAGGCCCUGCUUUUGUGGGGUGCUCGAGUGGCGAACGGGUGAGUAACACGUGAGUAACCUGCCCUUGACUUUGGGAUAACUUCAGGAAACUGGGGCUAAUACCGGAUAGGAGCUCCUGCUGCAUGGUGGGGGUUGGAAAGUUUCGGCGGUUGGGGAUGGACUCGCGGCUUAUCAGCUUGUUGGUGGGGUAGUGGCUUACCAAGGCUUUGACGGGUAGCCGGCCUGAGAGGGUGACCGGCCACAUUGGGACUGAGAUACGGCCCAGACUCCUACGGGAGGCAGCAGUGGGGAAUAUUGCACAAUGGGCGGAAGCCUGAUGCAGCAACGCCGCGUGCGGGAUGACGGCCUUCGGGUUGUAAACCGCUUUCGCCUGUGACGAAGCGUGAGUGAAGGUAAUGGGUAAAGAAGCACCGGCUAACUACGUGC